UGUGCUGCUAUGAACUCCGGUUGUUGGGUGGGAGUGAGUGAAGAUUUUCGUUGUUCAUUCGCAGGCCAAGAGCAUGGAAACACUGGACUGUCCGUUGUGUGGACUGAAUGGCUUCUUGGAAGGUCCUGGGCUUUGAAAGGCAGUUGUCGAGGGAUUUGGAUACCGAGAGACCGUAAUGUCGCUCUUGAGUCCUUCAUGGAGUGAAGCACAUCACUGGUGUUACUGGCAAAUAGUUUUUCACCAU